rnacentral:rRNA from 1 species
AUUGAACGCUGGCGGCAUGCUUUACACAUGCAAGUCGAACGGUAACAGGUUAAGCUGACGAGUGGCGAACGGGUGAGUAAUGCAUCGGAACGUGCCCGGUCGUGGGGGAUAACGCAGCGAAAGCUGCGCUAAUACCGCAUACGAUCUGAGGAUGAAAGCGGGGGACCGUAAGGCCUCGCGCGAUCGGAACGGCCGAUGUCAGAUUAGGUAGUUGGUGGGGUAAAGGCUCACCAAGCCAACGAUCUGUAGCUGGUCUGAGAGGACGACCAGCCACACUGGGACUGAGACACGGCCCAGACUCCUACGGGAGGCAGCAGUGGGGAAUUUGGACAAUGGGCGAAAGCCUGAUCCAGCAAUGCCGCGUGCAGGAAGAAGGCCUUCGGGUUGUAAACUGCUUUUGUACGGAGCGAAAAGGUCUCCUCUAAUACAGGGGGCUCAUGACGGUACCGUAAGAAUAAGCACCGGCUAACUACGUGCCAGCCGCCGCUGUAA